GGCUGCUUCGAUGGUAGUGGGUUAAUGAGAACUUAUUAAUAACAUUCGUAUCACUAAAGUUGGUAUACAACCACCACUGAUGAAUUUGACUGGUUUAGA
ensembl:misc_RNA Y_RNA Y RNA